UGUUGCUCCUAGUAAUCUCUACUAGCAUCCGUUAGCAAUCACUUGAGGAAGCUUUCUCCAUUUCCUGCUUUUCUCCUAGACUCGAAUCCCACAGCAGCUGCCAACAAGCUAUUUUAGGAGGCUCUACACCUUGAAGGCUGCAGUUUAACUCCUCCUUCAGUAGUUCCUGCGUCUCAGAUCUACAAGCAAACUCUUACCAGUAGGAAAUCACUGGGAUGAAAUUUUGAUUGAAGGUCAAGUGUGGAGCAGGGGAUUGUAUUAAUAAAGACCAUGUGAAGUGAACUGCUGGAAUGAUUUUAACCCAACACUGACCAGAGAGUAGAAAGCACUACAAAGUAAGAGGGGGAGUUUUGUCAUAUUGGCCAGGUUGGUCUCCAACUCAUGGACUCAAAUGAUCAUCCUGCCUCAGCCUCCAGAGUAG